UACGAAGGGGGCGAGCGUUGUUCGGAUUUACUGGGCGUAAAGGGCGCGCAGGCGGCGGACCAAGUCAGGCGUGAAAGCCCCGGGCUCAACCUGGGAACCGCGCUUGAGACUGGCAUGCUCGAGUUCGGGAGAGGAUGGUGGAAUUCCCAGUGUAGAGGUGAAAUUCGUAGAUAUUGGGAAGAACACCGAUGGCGAAGGCAGCCAUCUGGACCGACACUGACGCUGAGGCGCGAAAGCGUGGGGAGCAAACAGG
rnacentral:rRNA from 1 species